GACGAACGCUGGCGGCGUGCUUAACACAUGCAAGUCGAACGGAAAGGCCCUGCUUUUGUGGGGUGCUCGAGUGGCGAACGGGUGAGUAACACGUGAGUAACCUGCCCUUGACUUUGGGAUAACUUCAGGAAACUGGGGCUAAUACCGGAUAGGAGCUCCUGCUGCAUGGUGGGGGUUGGAAAGUUUCGGCGGUUGGGGAUGGACUCGCGGCUUAUCAGCUUGUUGGUGGGGUGGUGGCUUACCAAGGCUUUGACGGGUAGCCGGCCUGAGAGGGUGACCGGCAACAUUGGGACUGAGAUACGGCCCAGACUCCUACGGGAGGCAGCAGUGGGGAAUAUUGCACAAUGGGCGGAAGCCUGAUGCAGCAACGCCGCGUGCGGGAUGACGGCCUUCGGGUUGUAAACCGCUUUCGCCUGUGACGAAGCGUGAGUGACGGUAAUGGGUAAAGAAGCACCGGCUAACUACGUG
rnacentral:rRNA from 1 species